rnacentral:rRNA from 1 species
AGUGAACGCUGGCGGCGUGCCUAAUACAUGCAAGUCGAAGGAAGUGGCGCACGGGUGAGUAAUACGUGGGUAACCUGCCCUCCUUUUUGGGAUAAGCCUUGGAAACGGGGUCUAAUACCGAAUAAAGGGGGAUGGGCUCGCGGCCUAUCAGCUUGUUGGAGGGGUGAUGGGCUACCAAGGCGGUGACGGGUAGCCGGCCUGAGAGGGUGACCGGGGACAUUGGGACGGAGCUACGGCCUAGACGCCUACGGGGGGGAGCAUUGGGGGAUAUUGCACAAUGCGCGAAAGCCUGAUGCAGCGUGGCCGCGUGGGGGAUGAAGGCUUUCGGGUUGUAAACCUCUUGCGCUAGCGAACCGGUAGGUGGAGAAGAAGCGCCGGCUAACUACGUGCCAGCAGCCGCGGUAAUUC